UACGUAGGGGGCAAGCGUUGUCCGGAUUUAUUGGGCGUAAAGAGCGUGUAGGCGGCUUUACAGGUCCGUUGUGAAAACUCGAGGCUCAACCUCGAGACGCCGGUGGAAACCGUAAGGCUAGAGUCCGGAAGAGGAGAGUGGAAUUCCUGGUGUAGCGGUGAAAUGCGCAGAUAUCAGGAGGAACACCGGUGGUGUAAACGGCUUUCUGGACCGUAACUGACGCUGAUGCACGAAAGCGUGGGUAGCAAACAGG
rnacentral:rRNA from 1 species